GACAGGUGGGAUAGCAUUGUUAAUCUUAAUUAGGUUGCGUAUUCAGGCUGUUACAAUAUUUAAGAAUUAUGUAACUCAUAGUAACGAAAUAUUUGAAAAGUAACUAGAGGAAAAUAGGAGAAGAGUUGAAUUGGUGGAAGAGGGUGAAAUCCAUAGAGGCCAACUAGGAAAACAGAGGCGAUAGCAACGUUCUAUAUUAAUCCUGACGCUGAAGUACUAAAGUGUGGGGAGCGAAAGGG
rnacentral:rRNA from 1 species